AAGUCGUAACAAGGUUUCCGUAGGUGAACCCUGCUCUUCACCUCAAAAAGUAAUCUGGAGCGGUAGAGCAAAUAGACUUGGUUUCCGUCGGCUCCCCAUAUUAACCCCGUAUUGUGAAAGUCGGGCUUGCAAACUACAGGCCCACAAAACGAACAACUGUUAACAAUGGAUAUCUUGGUUCUC
rnacentral:misc_RNA from 1 species